CUGGCUUCUGUCUUCAUUUAUCCUGAUCUCUGGCAUCCCUUGACUUCGGCUACACUUCGUUAAUCCUGACCUCUGGCAUCAUUUGACUUUGGCUACCCAUUGACUAUCCUGCUGUUUGUGUCCUUGUCGGUACUGCAUUGGAAUCACCUUUCCUGCACAGCCCCUGUGCACAGAUUUAUAGUCCAGGUGGCUUCUUAUCUGGUCACCUUGGACUGUGUCUAUCUGCAAGGGUGAGCAACAUAUCUGCGCUACAGACUCCCACCUCAGGUAAGAACCCCUGACAGCAAGAAUAUAUAUAUGCUGGUCCUGAGUCUAUU